CUAAGAUCCAGUCCCCAUAACAGACUAAUGGGCACUACAGCUGCCCGAUUCUCACCAGGGCCAAAAGCUUUCUGGGAAGUUGGAGGAGUGAGGAAUAGUAAUUGGGUAGAUAAAAAUGUACAAGCCAGGGAUCAGGGAGGCGUGAAUGCUAUCAUGAGUGGGACGAGGGAGUUCUGCUCUUACAGUGCCAGCCGAGGUCCGUGGCAACAGAGAAGCCAACACAACUGCGUUCUUGGAACCUGCUUUGGAAGUUUCCAAGUUGGACGGUGAGCUGCUAUCAGAGCAGGGAGCCCUGAUCUCUGGAUAAUCAUUAAAACUCAGGCCCAGACAAGUUAGAGAGCAGGCCAGGAAAACAGGAGCAGGAAGAAUUGGGAGCAGAUUUUAUAAAGAAUGGAGGACCAAAAGCAAAGCUGCCCUCCAUCCCGGAAGAGUCCGAAGGACCUUCUACAAAAUGAGGGACUCACGUGGCCUCAGACUCGCUCUCUAGCCAAGGGUAACCUCUAACUUGCUGAGCCUCUAGGAAGACCACAGCAGAUACCCAAGCUCUCUGCAAAAGCUCCUCAAAUUCCAAUCUCUUCUGGACCCUUCAAGUGCUGGGAUUGCAGGUGAAGCCCAUGUUUGUGUAGAUUGGAGACUAGAGGCACAGGCAUGUAGAAUAUUCUGGUAAAUAACUCGAUGUCAAUGCCUUUGCUCAAAACUGGAGCCGCUGGCACCUCACUGCAGGAAUGGUGAGAGGAAGUGGACUCUCCCACUUUGAGGUUGUGUCCUGAAUAGACUAACAUGUAGCAUCCUGCACCAUGUCCCUCACCAGCCUCUGCAGAGCAACUUAACAUAUAUAUAUAUAUAUAUAUAUAUAUAUAUAUAGCCAGCAGUUGGAUGUCUGGGUCACAUGCUUUGGCUAGUUCAGUAUUUCGAGGAACAUCCAUGCUGCCCUCCCUCCACGCAUUCCCACCAGAAUGAAGAAAGUUUUCUUUUUCUCCUAUUCUGUUUAUUUAUUAUUAUUAUUUCAUAUAUGUAAGUACGCUACACUGUAGCUGUCUUCAGACACACCAAAAGAGGGCAUUGCAUCUCAUUACAGAUGGUUGUGAUCCACCAUAUGAUUGCUGGGAAUUAAACUCAGGACCUCUGGAAGAGCAGUCUGUGCUCUUAACCGCUAAGCCAGCUCUUCAGCACGCCCCCCCCCCACCUUUCCUCCCAUUCUCAUCAGUAUUUUUUUUUCCUAACAGCUAUUCUGUAUUGUGCCAGAUAUCUCAUUAUAGUUUUCGUUUGUAUUUUCCUGAUACUAGCCACCUGUAUCUUUUUAUCCAUGUGCAUUAUUGAAGAAACAGGCAUAGUGGCAAUUUUUAAGAAUGGGAAGGAGUUGCUGGAGAUUAAACCCACAGCCUAUGCUUGCUAAAUAAGCACCUCAUAGUCAGCAGUUAAUUAAAAUUAAUUAAUCACAGAGUCUCCAUAUGUAGCCCAGGCUGCCGUCACACUUACAACCCUGCUCGGCCUCCCAAGUGCUGGGGUGGCAUGCAUCUAUAUUCCCUUGCCUGACUUUCAUAAAUGAUUUAUUUAAGUUCUGGAAUGACUGGAAUUUUGUCUUCACACUUCCCUUUCUAAGUUAAGGCUGUUUGGUCAGUCAUUACCCUGCUUAGAAGUGGAAUUAGUGAUGGAUUGUGAACACACCUGUUGGCUGUUUCCUGUGGGGGUCAUUGUGUUAUAUGUGCAAGGAAUGGAAACUUACCGUUGGAAACAACAACCUUCUGGUCAGGACAACCAGUCUCUUACCUGGACAGCCUUGUCCAAUUAGCAGCUCAGGAGGUUAGGCAGUGCCAGAGCCUAAACUGAAGAGACUGAAUAGCUCUGCAAAGGUAGUCAGAAUGUGAAUGGAGCCCCUCCCACUCCCGGGAUUCCCGGGAGGGGCGGGGCCAGGAAGGAGGCUGGAUACCAGAUUGCGGAGUCCAUGCGUCCAUGUCCAUUGGUCCAGCUCUAUGCGAACUACCACCGUAUUGUAGGGGGGCACUCAUGUACUUGGGGUUUAGUGACUACUUUCCUUGCACAGGAUGAUGUAGGGGAAAGAGUCAGAGUUUUGUUUGCUGGACUGUGAAUGGAACCCAGUACUUCCGGUUGACUUAUCUGCCCAAUAAAAGCGACUGUUUGGGGAGUGUUUGUUUUUGAGACAUUUCUUGAUUUUUGGGCCAGCCUGGAAUUUGUCAUGUAGCGAAGGAUGACCUUGAUCUUCUGACCCUCGUCCUUACCUCUCCCAAGUAUCACUAAGCUUGACUUACGCAGUGUUUGUUUGAGAUCCAACUCUGGACCUCUCCUGUGCUAAGCUACUUCCCCAAACCCAAAGAAGGUUAAAUAAGGAGGGAAGACCCACUCCAACUGUGAGCAUUUCAUGGACUGGGACCCUGGACUGAAUGAAAAGGAGAAAGUGAAGGGCCAGCAGGAUGGCUCAGCAGGUAAAGGGGUUUAGUGUACAAACCUGACACCUGAGACCCAUUGCUGAAGUCUGCGUAAAACAAGCUGGAACUGGUAGUUGUGCAUCUCUGUAAAGCCAGCACUUCUCAGGCAAGAUGGAAGGCAGAGACAGAAGGAUCACCAGAAAGCUCAAGGACCCACUAACCAAGAAUAUACACUGAGAAACAGUAAGGGGGCCUGCCUCAAUAAGGCUCAAAGAGACAACUGAUUUCACAAAGGUGUUCUCUGACAUCCCCCCCACCCCACCCCCACACACAGACAUGCAUGCGCAUGUGUACUAGGGAAGAGAGAGAGAGAGAGAGAGAGAAGAGAAGAGAAGAGGCACUCAUCUAUCUCUGCUUACUGCUGGAGGGUUUAAAGCCACCAGCUGCCUCAGGCUCCUGCCCCAACACCUUUCCCACCAAGAUGGAUGAAUACUCAAACCAUUCUAUGUAUUGGACUACCAAAUUCUAUAACUGGAUGGUCUAGGCCUAUGAGUGACUUCUUCUUUGCAAGCUGGUUAGAUAAAAUCAGCUACAGCCAGUUACUGGAGGAAUUAGAGGCAGGUGGGUUUGGAGUGCUCUGAUUGGAGGAGGAGAGACCAAGAGGGAAAGAAAGAGGAAGAAGAAGGAGUCAACUCCCUCUUGCCAGUGUUUGUAUCCGGGGAAUCCGCACUGAGCUCAGGUCUUUGGAAGUGGAGCAAGAAAAACAAAACCAGAGGAAGGGGUGAGAGAAAAAAAAGCAAAUGGGGAACUGAAAAAUUAUUGAAGGGCUGGUGAGGUGACUCAGUGGAAAAAGGAGCUUGCUGUCAAGUCUGAAGACCAGAGUUCAAUUCCCAGGACCCACCUGGUGGAAGUUGUCUUCAAACUGCCCCAUGAAUAUUCAAACACAAGCAUGUAUAUUCAUACAAAAUAAAUAAAUAUAAUUUAAAAAAAUAAACGGCUG
rnacentral:lncRNA from 1 species